ensembl:snoRNA
CCUCAAUAAUGAGUUGCCAUGCUAAUAACUGAGCUACCAGCUAGGGCAGUGUUGCCCUGCUUUGGGUGCCCGUGAGUUUAGUAACAGCAACAAAAUACUGGCAGCC